UCGCCAACUCCAAAUUGGAGAUGUCACCAUCCCUCAAUUUUGGGCGUAUACAGGCCUUUGGAAUUGGCAGAAUUUUGGGUCGUUGGAGGCAGAAGUUGGUUGCUUUGCUUGGCAUGAUGAGGACUUCAUUAACCGUUUAGAAGCGCAGCCAACGAUGCGAGAGCAGAAGGGGAGCAAGCAUGUGAGUGCGGAAGACUUUGCUGCUUGAACAAGAACGACUGCUGCAGGGCGUUCUACAUGUUUUUGGCUUUCAACAUUUUUGCUUCAAGACUUAGCUGCUUGAACAAGAACGAAACUCCAUCUUAACUGCAAGGCAAAAUAUGUGUGGACUGCAUGUUACUUCUCCUGCAUGUUUUUCGCUUUGCACGUUUGUCCUUGAAAACUUAGAUGCUAGAAUAAGAACGAAACAGUUUUUAUGUUGCCUAAUCUACAUGAUAUAUAUUUUGCCACAUUGACUACAAGGGCAAGAUUUGUGUGAACUGUAUGUUACUUCUGUUUAUUAGGGAACCAAAACGUUCAGUUUCGUCCUGUUCAUGGUACAAUGUCUUUUCAUGUCAGCUCAGUUGAAUGUAUAUAAAAACGAAGCUGCAUAUCUUACUAACCUCAUUCA